AGACACCGUCGUCCUAUUUUUUCACCCUGCUUGCAUUCCCAUUAACUCCUCUUUAGCAAAACAAAAAAAUCAAGCCUUACUGGUUCUCCCUACCUCCUGAUAGCUACCUACCUAGACUGCUUGGCAGACGCAGUUCUGCAGGCUACUUUCUUAUCAAGAGUUGGCAAUUAGAAGAGGCCCUUGGAGAGGAGGUGGGAGUGCUCCUUAAAGUCCUCAUCGGAAUGGAAUUGCUGACCGAGUUCAUUAGGCUACGGAUUUGCAGCAAGACUUGGAUUCUAUUGCAAUCCUCCUCGCCCUCUGACUAAUAUGAAUGACACCGUGGUUAGCCACAUGUCCUCUGGAGUGCCCACUCCCACCAAGAGUGUUCUGGACAGUCCUAGCCGACUGGAUGAGGAACACCGUCUUAUAGCUCGCUAUGCUGCCCGGCUGGCUGCAGAAGCAGGAAACGUGACUCGUCCUCCCACUGACUUGAGCUUUAACUUUGAUGCCAACAAACAACAAAGACAGCUUAUUGCAGAACUGGAAAACAAAAACAG
rnacentral:sRNA from 1 species